CGAGUCUGCAGCUCCUUCCUGCACGUGGAGGGACGGCUGGGCACGGCAGACACCAGGGCCUCCCACUUCACCCUCUGCCAGGCAGCUGCCACUUACCUGGCACCCUCCCACUUACCUGGCACCCUCCCAGGAGGGCGUGCCCCCCACCCCCCCGUUUGUCUCCAGCUCGACAGGGCCACUGGAGGGCCAGAAGCCAUGUCUCCCAGCAGUAGUUGGGAGUGCAGGGGCACGCGCUGGUGGGCAGUACUCCCGGGAGCUGCUGUUAGGGGUCAGGUCAGUUCUGGGUUUUUUGUGGGGUGCAGGGGCGACCGGGGAGGAAGUCCAGCCCUGCCCUCAGCUGCUGCAUCAGUCUGGCCCCCGCCUCCUCAGGUGGGCCCACAGGCCUCCCCACCGUGUCCUGCCACCCGGUGCCACAGCCUUCCCUUGGCAGCUCCUGCCCACCCCCAGGCAAGGUCUCAAACCCCAC
ensembl:lncRNA